rnacentral:rRNA from 1 species
AUUGAACGCUGGCGGCAUGCUUUACACAUGCAAGUCGAACGGCAGCGGGGGCUUCGGUCCGCCGGCGAGUGGCGAACGGGUGAGUAAUGCAUCGGAACGUGCCCAGUCGUGGGGGAUAACACAUCGAAAGAUGUGCUAAUACCGCAUACGUCCUGAGGGAGAAAGCGGGGGAUCUUCGGACCUCGCGCGAUUGGAGCGGCCGAUGUCGGAUUAGCUAGUUGGUGGGGUAAAGGCCCACCAAGGCGACGAUCCGUAGCGGGUCUGAGAGGAUGAUCCGCCACACUGGGACUGAGACACGGCCCAGACUCCUACGGGAGGCAGCAGUGGGGAAUUUUGGACAAUGGGGGCAACCCUGAUCCAGCCAUGCCGCGUGAGUGAAGAAGGCC